rnacentral:tRNA from 1 species
AGAAAAGUGGCCGAUCUUUAAGCGUUAGACUGUAAAUUUAUUGAUGAAUAAAAUUCCUUUUCUA